UAAUACGGAGGAUCCAAGCGUUAUCCGGAUUUAUUGGGUUUAAAGGGUGCGUAGGCGGCUUAUUAAGUCAGGGGUGAAAGACGGUGGCUCAACCAUCGCAGUGCCCUUGAUACUGAUGAGCUUGAAUACACUAGAGGUAGGCGGAAUGUGACAAGUAGCGGUGAAAUGCAUAGAUAUGUCACAGAACACCGAUUGCGAAGGCAGCUUACUAUGGUGUGAUUGACGCUGAGGCACGAAAGCGUGGGGAUCAAACAGGAUUAGAUACCCUGGUAGUCCACGCCCUAAACGAUGAAUACUCGCUGUUAGCGAUACACAGUUAGCGGCUAAGCGAAAGCGUUAAGUAUUCCACCUGGGGAGUACGGUCGCAAGAUUG
rnacentral:rRNA from 1 species